GACGAACGCUGGCGGCGUGCUUAACACAUGCAAGUCGAACGGUAAGGCCCUUCGGGGUACACGAGUGGCGAACGGGUGAGUAACACGUGGGUGAUCUGCCCUGCACUUCGGGGUAAGCCUGGGAAACUGGGUCUAAUACCGGAUAGGACCCUGGGAUGCAUGUCCUGGGGUGGAAAGCUUUUGCGGUGUGGGAUGGGCCCGCGGCCUAUCAGCUUGUUGGUGGGGUGAUGGCCUACCAAGGCGACGACGGGUAGCCGGCCUGAGAGGGUGACCGGCCACACUGGGACUGAGAUACGGCCCAGACUCCUACGGGAGGCAGCAGUGGGGAAUAUUGCACAAUGGGCGCAAGCCUGAUGCAGCGACGCCGCGUGAGGGAUGACGGCCUUCGGGUUGUAAACCUCUUUCAGCACCGACGAAGCGCAAGUGACGGUAGAUGCAGAAGAAGGACCGGCCAACUACGUGCCAGCCGCCGCCGCUG
rnacentral:rRNA from 1 species